CCUACGGGUGGCAGCAGUAGGGAAUAUUGCUCAAUGGGGGAAACCCUGAAGCAGCAACGCCGCGUGGAGGAUGAAGGUUUUCGGAUUGUAAACUCCUUUUGUUAGAGAAGAUAAUGACGGUAUCUAACGAAUAAGCACCGGCUAACUCCGUGCCAGCAGCCGCGGUAAUACGGAGGGUGCAAGCGUUACUCGGAAUCACUGGGCGUAAAGAGCGCGUAGGCGGGAUAGCAAGUCAGAUGUGAAAUCCUAUGGCUUAACCAUAGAACUGCAUUUGAAACUGUUAUUCUAGAGUAUGGGAGAGGUAGGUGGAAUUCUUGGUGUAGGGGUAAAAUCCGUAGAGAUCUGGAGGAACAUCAGUGGCGAAGGCGACUAUCUGGCACAUAACUGACGCUGAGGAGCGAAAGCGUGGGUAGCAAACAGGAUUAGAUACCCCUGUAGUC
rnacentral:rRNA from 1 species